UGCAAGAGUGCUUUUUCAGAUGGCAAUAAUGCGGUUAUCUUAGAGGGGUGGAGAAGCAUCUCAGAACAACCGAUGAAGCAGAAUGGAAGAUUUGGGACACAUAAAAUACGGUCCUUCUUCAUGCAACGCCGAGUUAAACUGCGGAACUCCUUGCCACAGGAAACAGUGGUGGGUGGCAACCUGGAUGGACUGGACAAAUUCAGGGAGGAAGAGUGGGCUAUAUCAGUUACUAUUAGUCAUGGCAGUUCUGUUCUGCCUCCUUCGAUUGGGCAAGAAUGCUUCUCAACACCAGUUGCAAGAAAACACAAGAAGGGAGAGGCCUCUGGACUCCAGCAAAACUAUACCAGAAGAAAAUAACAAGUGCAGACAACUGCUGGAGAUGUGGG